GGGCGAACAGAUUGGUUUUUUUUUGUGUUGACGCAUUAUGAUUUGACGACGUAAUCCAUUUCUACAGACUACAGACCACAAGUUAGCCGACCCCGACUGUCAUUCGCGAGCACCGCCGCCGCUCGCCAGAAUGACACUUCGGGUGAUCCUCUCCCGCCUGCGCCUCACCCCUCUCAUCCACGACGGCCACCACCUGCGACGCUCUCUAUCCGCCGCCGCUGCCAAACUACCUGACGAGUUGCCUCCUGGCGCGCCGGCGCCAACCUCCGACUCCAGGCUCUUCGUCGCAGGGCUGUCGUGGUCCGUGGACGAGCGCUCCCUCACGGACGCCUUCUCCUCCUUCGGCACCGUCACCGAAGAUGGUGCACAGUGUAGGUCUUCGGCUAAAUGCCGUGGAGGCCGUGAGCCACUCCAUCGCCCCCAGGCCUGCAGCCUGUUCGACGAAAUUCCUGUUAGGGACGUGGUCACCUGCUCAGCUGCAAUUUACCGACAUGCGAGGAGCGGGCUGUUCCAUGAGUCAGCUGAGCUGUUUGUUGGCAUGAUGAGGGCAGGUGUGUGCCCAAACUCGUUCACCUUGGUCGGUGUGUUGCUUGCGGCUGCUGGUCUGGGUGACGUUGUGCUUGCCCAGUGCAUUCAUGGGUGGGCUGCGAAGAGUCGGUUGGAAUCCAAUCAUUUUGUUUCAAGCGCACUAGUGGAUGCAUAUGCGAAAUGUGGGCGCCCCAUGAAUGCAUUGGCAUUUUUUAAUGAUUUGAGGGAUCCUAAUGUAGUUUCCUGGAAUGCGAUGAUCUCCGGAUUAGUGCACAAUGUUUUGUUUGUUGAAGCAGUAUUCGUGUUCAAGAGGUUGUGUUGUUGCUUUGGGUCAGUUCCUAAUAAUGCUGUGACCAUGAUUAAUGUCGCUCAAGCGUAUGCUGGUUGUGGUGACCUUGGAAUGUGCAAGAGUGUACAUGCUUAUGCAGUUAAGGCCGGUUUUGAUUUGGAUGUCUUGGUGACAAACUCAAUACUUGGCAUGUACUUGAGUUUUGGAGAUAUUGAGAUUGGAAGAGAGAUUUUCAGGAAAAAUAUUGUUCGGAAUGUGGUUACUUGGACAAUGAUGAUGGGUUUCCUUCUUAAGCAGGUGCAUGCUGGUGAAGUUAUAAUGCUCUUUGUUCAGAUGAGGUCAAAUGGCAUAGUUCCUGACAGGGUAGCAAUGGUCAGUUUGGUGCAAGCUUGUGCACUUCUGGGUGAUGCAAGGAGAGGAAAAAUGGUUCACAACCAAAUGAUCACCGGUGGGUUUAGUAGUGAGCUUCCUGCAGUUAAUUCAUUAAUCACUAUGUAUUCCAAAUGCAAGGAUUUAAGUUCUGCUAGAGUGUUGUUUGAUGGAAUGAGGAAGAAAAGUUUAGUUUCUUGGACUGCAAUGGUGUCUGGGUAUAUAGGAAGUGGAAGAGCCCUAGAGGGGAUGCUUCUAUUUGGUAAGAUGAGACAUGAGAAUAAUUUUGUGAUUGAUUCUGUGGCAUUAGUCAGCUUAUUGACUGGAUGCUACGAGACUGCUAAGUUUGAUCUAUGUGUUCAACUUCAUGGGUAUAGCUACAAGUCAGGUUUAUAUCUUUAUAGACCUGUCCCUAAUACCUUCAUAGCAGUUUAUGGUAAGUGUGGAUAUGCCAUUUUAGCUCAUAAAGUAUUUGAUGACAUGAUUUCUCGAGAUGUUGUUUCAUGGAAUACCCUGAUAUUAUCCUAUGGUAUAAAUGGCCAAGGAGAGCAAGCAGUAGCACUUUUUAAUGACAUGGAGGAAUCUAGUGAAAAGCGAGACAGUGUAACAUACUUGAAUGCAAUGCUGGCGUGCAGCCAUUCUGGACAAGUUGAUGAUGGGUUGAUCAUAUUCAGGAGAAUGAUUAUUGAGAAGCGUGUAAAUCCUUGCCAGGAGCACAUCGGAUGCCUAGUAGAUAUGUUGGCAAGAGCUGGUCGCUUGGAUGAAGCAGCCGAAGUGGCUAGCUUGACUAGCAAUGAGGGAGCAAAUCCUUGGAAGGCUUUGAUGGGAGGAGGUCACCUGUAUAGUCAGACAGAAUUAACUGAAGUUGCUGCUGAGAAAGUGCUGAAUGCGGACUCAUUUGAUAACGGCCAUGUGGUGUUACUUUCUAACACUUGUGCAUCGGCUGGAAAGUAUAGUGAUGCUGAAUCUAUCCGAUCCUGUUAUUCGAAACAAACACGAAAGAAAAUUCUAGGGCUUAGUUCCAUUGAGAUUAUGCUAUCCAGCACAAGAUAGGCACUAUAUUUCUCACAAUGGAAGGGGAAAGAUGCAUGAGACAAUUGCCAUACACUAUCUGUCUAUCUCAAAGUAUUGGAGAUCUGUUUUAGGCAUGAAAGAUGGAAUUUUACUUUGCAGACUGCAAGGUUCACUGAUUAAAAGAGAAACCUCAAGAAUGAGGUUUCAGAUAGCACAUUUGAUGCAUUGGGAAAUUGCAUCAGUCUUUAUAUUGUGGUAGACUAAGUUUCUAGUAAUUCAGGAGCCUUAUAUCAAUUAGAAUAAUGUAUGACAAAAACUCUGGAAGGUCAAGAGGCUUUGGAUUUGUUCAUUUCUCAAAUGAUAAUGAAGCUAAGUGUGCCAAGGAUGCUAUGGAUGGGAAGGUAAUGCUAGGGCGGCCAUUGCGAAUAAGUUUUGCCCUUGGAAGAGUUCGUGGCGCAUCAGUUAUUGUUCCUCGACUUUCUACGCAGGUGAAAUGAGCAGAAGCAUUGGUCGUGGCAUACUGGCAUGGACCGAUGGACAUAUCAGGAGGGUUGCGAAGUACCCAUAUAGGCUAGUGUUUUUAAUCUUGCAAGGUAGGGAUCUUAGUCGAAGGCGCCUGGCAAUGGCGUGAAGGGCAGCGUGGCAAAGAAGAUGAUGGCUAUGUUUGUCGCCCCAAUUUGCUCGAUGUUGAAGCAUUUCACGAGGUGCAUUGUAGCUUUGCAGCCACCUCGUGUGAGGCCGCCUUUUCGAAUGUCUCGUUUGAUGUGUGUGAGUGAGAGAGAGAGACUCUUCUUGAAUUGAUUCAUGUCAAAUGUAUCCAGUAGGGGCUUUUCGCCCCCUCCUGUUUCAUAAAAAAAAAUCAUGUAAACUGUAAAUUUGUGGUGGCAACCGUCACUACGCACUAGUACAACGCAGUUAAACUGUCUUCGAUUCUUCA